rnacentral:rRNA from 1 species
AUACGGAGGAUGCGAGCGUUAUCCGGAUUUAUCGGGUUUAAAGGGUGCGUAGGCGGGCUGUUAAGCGUGAGGUGAAAGCUCGGGGCUCAACCCCGGAACUGCCUCGCGAACUGGCGGUCUUGACUGUCCGCGCCGUGGGGGGAAUGUGUGGGGUAGCGGGGGAAUGCAUAGAGAUCACACAGAACACCGAUUGCGAAGGCAUCUCACGAACGGAUGAUUGACGCUGAGGCACGAAAGCGUGGGGAUCAAACAGGAUUAGAUGCCCUGGUAGUCCACGCAGUAAACGAUGAUGGCUAACCGCUGGGUCAUACGAUUCAGUGGCCAAGCGAAAGCGAUAAGCCAUCCACCUGGGGAGUACGACCGCAAGGUUGAAACUCAAAGGAAUUGACGGGG